CCUACGGGUGGCAGCAGUGGGGAAUAUUGCACAAUGGGGGAAACCCUGAUGCAGCGACGCCGCGUGAGUGAAGAAGUAUCUCGGUAUGUAAAGCUCUAUCAGCAGAGAAGAAAAUGACGGUACGUGAGUAAGAAGCCCCGGCUAACUACGUGCCAGCAGCCGCGGUAAUACAUAGGGGGCCAGCGUUAUCCGGAUUUACUGGGUGUAAAGGGAGCGUAGACGGCUGGACAAGUCUGGAGUGAAAUGCCGGGGCUUAACCCCGGAACUGCAUUGGAAACUGUGCAGCUAGAGUGCAGGAGAGGUAAGUGGAAUUCGUAGUGUAGCGGUGAAAUGCGUAGAUAUUAGGAGGAACACCAGUGGCGAAGGCGGCUUACUGGACUGUAACUGACGUUGAGGCUCGAAAGUGUGGGGAGCAAACAGGAUUAGAUACCCUUGUAGUC
rnacentral:rRNA from 1 species